CAGCCGCCGCGGUAACACGGAGGGUGCAAGCGUUAAUCGGAAUUACUGGGCGUAAAGCGCACGCAGGCGGUUUGUUAAGUCAGAUGUGAAAUCCCCGAGCUUAACUUGGGAACUGCAUUUGAAACUGGCAAGCUAGAGUCUUGUAGAGGGGGGUAGAAUUCCAGGUGUAGCGGUGAAAUGCGUAGAGAUCUGGAGGAAUACCGGUGGCGAAGUCGGCCCCCUGGACAAAGACUGACGCUCAGGUGCGAAAGCGUGGGGAGCAAACAGGAUUAGAUACCCCGGUAGUCCCUGUCUCUUAUAC
rnacentral:rRNA from 1 species